UAGCCGAGUGGCGUCUUCUCGCGAGAUCUUCCCGGCCUGGGUAUCGCUCCAGAUCUCGCGGUAGUACAGGGCAUUUUAAAAAAGUAAUAAUUAAAACUGAAACUGGAUUUCUAUGCUUUUUCACUUGUAUUAUUUGGUACAGAGGACAAAAGCUUUAUUUUUUGCUUCUUCCCCUGUGUUGGACAGAGGGAGAAAGUUGGGAAGCGAGUAGAGGCUAUUUCUGCAGGAUUAGGGGGCAUUUGGAGGCCUGCUGGCGCUGUAGUUGAGAGCUACGGUGCUUAACCAAAAGGUCAGCGGUUCAAAUCCACCUCUCUGCUCCCUGAAAACCCUCUGGGGCAGUUCUCUUCUGUCGUAUAGGGUGACUAUGAGUGAAAAUCCACUCCAUGGCAACGGUUUGUUCGUUUAGGGGAUAUUUGUAGCAUUGCUCACAGCCUCUUUUUCUGAAAUGGCACACUUCUAAAAUUAUAUAGUACCAGAGCCGCUCACAUGCCCCGCGGAGGAACCUGCCCACCAGGACGCUAGGGGAGCAGUGUCUUGGCACUGAGGGCAUGGUCUCAACAGAAAAAAGAACUUACACCAGAUGGUUUAAAUGAAGAGAUAAUAAUGAGAAGUCUGGCGUACGGAUUGAAUUACGUCCC